AUUAUGGAAUUACAUUUGUGUCAAAUUAAACGCACGCAACUUUUGCAAAAACAAACAAAAAUAUACAUUGAUAAAAGAAAAAAACUAUCUGAAAAUAAAAACAAUCAACUAACUAGCAAAAAAAUUAACAUCAUCUUUAAAUAUACUGCAUUCUUUGUUUAUAGUUUUCUAAGUUUCACUUUCACUAAAUAUAGUUUUGAAUGUGCUGCAAAUGUUUUCGUUUUCACUUUCCAAGUUUUCGUUUGCGCUUCGCAAAUUUACGUUCUCCAUUUUGACACAAACCUCUCGUGAGGGGCGGGCUUAACAGCGGUUCGCUCUUAUUGGCUUGUGAGAUUUUGAUUGACAGCUCAUUGAACCGGAACCCCGGAACAGAAGGUGGCGGUAGUGCACCAAUAAGCUGGAUCCCAACCGCUGUUAAAAAUAACAAGAAGAAGACGAUCGGACGCUGUUUAUCAGCGGAGCUGCAAGUAGUCUAAACAAACGGUAAUAAGAGUAUAUUAAAGAACAUUAUUGAUAAUACACGGAUAUUUUACACGUCAGCAGAGGAAUUACAAUAGUUCAAGAUGAGUAAUCGAGAGGCUCACGGUCCGGAGCACCAACACCAUCCUCCUCGGCCGGACAAUCGAGGCAGCCUGAGGACCAAAGAGUGUAAUUUCUCCAGAAGAUGAACCAAAGUCUUAAGGGUUUGGAACGACAUGAUGAAUUAAGCCUCUAUGGUGUGAUGUUUGGUCAGCUGUCUCUUGUACUAUGAAGAACUGCAAUGGAAGAAGAGACAGUGCUUGAUUCGGCAGGUGAACUGCACCUAUUUUAUGGUGGAGCAACUUUUUCAAGAGGAAAUUGUUGACAAUGUCACAGAGGAUGAUGGUGUGGUCGUGGUGCCAGAGAUCUAUUGUCCUUUGUCAGACCAAAAGCCUUUGAUAUCACCAUUGAAUGUCUAGGAGUUAUACCAACAGACACUUGAUGUCAUCCAAAGACUGUGCUCCAUUUAAAUUGUAAAAGUCAUUUUCAGGUUUACAAGAUACAAAAGCUGGUUCACAGAUGUACCUUUCCUUUAAAACUAUUUCCCACCUGUAAUCACAAUGGGGACACAUCUCUGACUGCUGGGCUUCCCCUCUUAUUGUGUUCAGAUUCAUAUGCAUCUGCAGGGUUAUUCAUGGCAACACUUUAUAGCGUUGUGCUGGUAAUUUAUCUUUAUAUAUCAUGCCUUCUCACUACAUCUGUCAGCCUGUGCUUUACAUAUCUGAGAGUCAACGCAGCUAAACAUGAAGGACAAAUGCAAUGCAAGAUGUUAUAUAUCGGCAUAUGGAUGAUUAGAAACUGCUUUCUGUUGGUGUGUUUAAACAUCACAUGACAUAGAAAAUUAACUGUCCUCCAUUUUCCUCCUUAGAUUUAAUUUGUACUUUAGACGUCAAUGGGUACACUCUCAUGUGUGCUUACCAUCAUUUAUCAAAAUAUCUUCUCAGCAGAAUAAAGAAACUUAAAUAGGUUUACAACAACAUGAGACUGAGUAAAUAAUAACAUAAUUUUAAUUUUUGUGU